AAUCAACGCUGGCGGCGUGCCUAACACAUGCAAGUCGAACGCGAAACGCCCCGUUCGGGGGCAAGUAGAGUGGCGUCCGGGUGAGUAACACGUGGGUAAUCUACCUCCGGGUGGGAAUAACUCGCCGAAAGGCGGGCUAAUACCGCAUAAUGCAGCGGCACCGAAUGGUGAUUAGUUGUUAAAGCGGGGGACCUUAGGGCCUCGCGUCUGGAGAGGAGCCUGCGGCAGAUUAGCUUGUUGGUAGGGAAUGGCCUACCAAGGCUGCGAUCUGUAGCUGGUCUGAGAGGACGGCCAGCCACACUGGCACUGACACACGGGCC
rnacentral:rRNA from 1 species